GAUGAACGCUAGCUACAGGCUUAACACAUGCAAGUCGAGGGGCAGCAUGCUGGUAGCUUGCUAUCAGCGAUGGCGACCGGCGCACGGGUGCGUAACACGUAUCCAAUCUACCCAUGGCUCGGGGAUAGCCUUUCGAAAGAAAGAUUAAUACCCGAUGGUCUGUGAUUGAGACAUCUCGAACAUAGUAAAGAUUAAUCGGCGAUGGAUGAGGAUGCGUCCGAUUAGCUAGUUGGCGGGGUAACGGCCCACCAAGGCGACGAUCGGUAGGGGUUCUGAGAGGAAGGUCCCCCACAUUGGAACUGAGACACGGUCCAAACUCC
rnacentral:rRNA from 1 species